rnacentral:rRNA from 1 species
AGUGAACGCUGGCGGUAGGCCUAACACAUGCAAGUCGAACGGCAGCACAGUAAGAGCUUGCUCUUACGGGUGGCGAGUGGCGGACGGGUGAGGAAUACAUCGGAAUCUACUUUUUCGUGGGGGAUAACGUAGGGAAACUUACGCUAAUACCGCAUACGACCUACGGGUGAAAGCAGGGGAUCUUCGGACCUUGCGCGAUUGAAUGAGCCGAUGUCGGAUUAGCUAGUUGGCGGGGUAAAGGCCCACCAAGGCGACGAUCCGUAGCUGGUCUGAGAGGACGAUCGGCCACACUGGAACUGAGACACGGUCCAGACGCCUACGGGAGGCAGCAGUGGGGAAUAUUGGACAAUAGGCGCAAGCCUGAUCCAGCCAUACCGCGUGGGUGAAGAAGGCCUUCGGGUUGUAAAGCCCUUUUGUUGGGAAAGAAAAGCAGCAGGUUAAUACCCCGCGGUUCUGACGGUACCCAAAGAAUAAGCACCGGCUAACUUCGUG